rnacentral:rRNA from 1 species
GAUGAACGCUAGCGGCAGGCCUAACACAUGCAAGUCGAGGGGUAGAGGAAGCUUGCUUCCUUGAGACCGGCGCACGGGUGCGUAACGCGUAUGCAAUCUACCUUUUACAGAGGGAUAGCCCAGAGAAAUUUGGAUUAAUACCUCAUAGUAUCUUUGCCUGGCAUCGGGUGAUUAUUAAAGUUCCAACGGUAAAAGAUGAGCAUGCGUCCUAUUAGCUAGAUGGUAAGGUAACGGCUUACCAUGGCAACGAUAGGUAGGGGUCCUGAGAGGGAGAUCCCCCACACUAGUACUGAGACACGGACCAGACUCCUACGGGAGGCAGCAGUGAGGAAUAUUGGACAAUGGGCGCAAGCCUGAUCCAGCCAUGCCGCGUGCAGGAAGACGGUCCUAUGGAUUGUAAACUGCUUUUGUACGGGAAGAAACACUCCUACGUGUAGGAGCUUGACGGUACCGUAAGAAUAAGGAUCGGCUAACUCCGUGCCAGCCGCCGCGGUAAAAC